CGUAGCUUUCAUCACAGCCGUGUGCACGCCGUACGUUGGAUUACAUCACAUUAACACGUAACUCAAGAGAGCAGAUUUUAUUUUUCGAAAUGCGCGAGAACAAGGGUGUGCCUUCCUUUCGCUCCAAUCACCAAAAGAAGCGAGCUUUGGAGCACGUGCGCAGCCUCAACCAGAUCGUAUCCAACGUACAAGCUGUACUUCCAUUUUUAUGGGAUGAAGAUCUUGGAAAGGAAACCAGCCACGUACAAAUACAACGGACGCAGCAACAUCGUCAGCAACAAUGGGAAUAUUUGUACAACACGCAUGAUUCAGCCAUCAGAUGAAAGGACGUACAGCUUUGUAGCACAGGACUUGGGCAAGUUACUACGAUACCCCCAAACUGUAACCUUUGCAAUGUUCUGUGCUCACGUUUUUGUUAAUAUUCGAAAUUAUUAUUCUUUGCUCGUUUUAAUUAUUAUUAUUAUUAUGUAUGCUGUUUUCAAGCUACAUAUAUAUUGCAUUUGCUCAUAGGAUUUCGCAUCCUAGAAUUUUUCACUUUAUUGUGUAUUUUUCAAUUAUACUUUAUCUUUGUAAACAUUCGAGCAACCGUUGAUUUCACUGAUUUUGAAGGGUCGACUGAUUUUUAUUUCCAUGCAAAAAAAUGUUAGUUAUAAUUUUAAUACCUUGCAAGCUUUAGUUUCUGUUUAUUUUUAAAUAGCAUUUUUCACAUACUAUACGCUUAUUCUUUUAAAAACAGACGAAAUAUUCUUCCAGUAAUUGUAUGUAUUUAUAUCAGAACGAAUCACUGUAGCGACCCAUCUAAUGUUUACAAAACAAAAUAAAACUAUUAUUUGAAAGUGAAGCAUUAAACUGUGGAUCUAUUUAUUUAGGUAUUCACUAAACAUAAGCAUUAUUUCAAUUUCUCAAAAGCUCCAAAACUGUUGGAAGUUAUUAAUGAUUUUAUAAAAAUCAUAUGGAACAUACUACGCUUAAAAACUAUUAUCAUAAAAGUAUAACGAGUGCUGAUAGUAAUAGUUCCUAGAAUUGGAAUUUAAACUUAAUGUGUACAAGGAGUCACAGCUACUUACAUCUAACAUAAACCUAAUAGAAACUCUAAUUUAAAAGAGAAAAGUUGAAGUAGAUAUUUAUACUUGAAGAAAAAUUUUUGUAAUUCGUAGGGAUUUUAUUAAUAAUUCCUAUAAUUGACUCAAUAUUUUCAUAGUUUGCAGUAAUUUUAUAAAAAUUUCUGCAGGUUGCACUUUAACACUGUGUAAGUGUAUCCUGAUCAAUAGUAAUAACAUCUGCUAUUUUUAGUACUUAUGUUUCAAAGUGAUAUUUUAUAUAUAGAGUGUCAUAGCUCCCUGUCUAUUGUUUACAAAACGAGACGAAAUAAAGCUACUUUCAAAUUUCAAAUCACAAA